rnacentral:rRNA from 1 species
GGCAGAGGCCUCAAGCGUUAGUCGGAAUCACUGGGCUUAAAGCGUGUGUAGGCGGAUCGUUAAGUGUCUUGUGAAAUCCCACGGCUCACCCGUGGAACGGCUGGGCAUACUGGCGAUCUUGGGCCAACUAGGGGCAACUGGAACAAGCGGUGGAGCGGUGAAAUGCGUAGAUAUCGCUUGGAACGCCGAAGGUGAAAACAGGUUGCUGGGGUUGUGCCGACGCUGAGACACGAAAGCCAGGGGAGCAAACGGG